rnacentral:lncRNA from 10 species
AGCAUCCGUGGGGGCUCGGAGCACGGCGUGGGCAUCUACGUGUCUCUGGUGGAACCAGGCUCUCUAGCUGAGAAGGAAGGACUGCGGGUCGGGGACCAGAUUCUGCGCGUCAACGACAAAUCCCUGGCCCGGGUGACCCACGCGGAGGCCGUCAAGGUUGUGUAUCCUGAAGCAAGUCACUUGCCCUCUCAGGACCUCUUGUUCUCCACUUGGAAAAUGGGGCCACUGGACCAAAUAAGCGGUCCCUAACCUUUUUGGAAAUGAGACUCCUGCCUGAAUGUAAAAAAUAAAUUCCCUAGCCCCUG